GAUAAGUAAACUGUUCAACGUCACUACACAGUGUUAUCAGUUCUUGAUACACCAAAUAUAUCAAAUGGUAAUCCGGACCAAUCUAUCAAUUUAGAUCCUACUUUACCCAGUCCAUCUCAAAGUGUUGUUACUACUUCAUCUUUACCUAAUCCAUCUCAAAGAACCAUAGUUCCUAUUUCAUCUUUGCAGAAGAAUAAUCCUAACUAUCAAGGAGAUCUUCGAUCACCAUUGGUUGAAAUUCCACUAUGUGAGUGGUUGAACAAAAGCGUUCAUGGUCAAGAUAUCCUUGUUCUCUAUGAUGUUUAUCAAAUGCUGGAUGACUCAUCCAAAAACAAAUUAGUGGCACUAAUUCUUCAACGUGAAACUGAUAGACUUCUGGAACUACCAGAAAUAAAACCUCAUAUUUAUAUGAAAUUUGCUCAAGAAAUUGUCACGACAUUUCCAAAAGAAGCAGAAGGUGUUUAUUAUGUUCCUCGGAUACGAAAAACAAAAUUGCAAGAUGGAAUACCCCUCAACGAAAAUUAUUGCCUAACUAUACAUAUGUGAGACGCGUCCACGCCACCAAACGAAAAUUAAUUACUCAGCAGAUGAACGUCGAUCAAACACGUGUGAUACCUGAUUUAGACGAUGCUAAUGAAAAGAUAAAAUGUUUCAUGACUAAUAUUGAGCCAUGGGAAGAAAUAAUUCAAAAA